rnacentral:rRNA from 1 species
UUGAACGCUGGCGGCAUGCCUUACACAUGCAAGUCGAACGGCAGCACGGGUGCUUGCACCUGGUGGCGAGUGGCGAACGGGUGAGUAAUACAUCGGAACAUGUCCUGUAGUGGGGGAUAGCCCGGCGAAAGCCGGAUUAAUACCGCAUACGAUCCACGGAUGAAAGCGGGGGACCUUCGGGCCUCGCGCUAUAGGGUUGGCCGAUGGCUGAUUAGCUAGUUGGUGGGGUAAAGGCCUACCAAGGCGACGAUCAGUAGCUGGUCUGAGAGGACGACCAGCCACACUGGGACUGAGACACGGCCCAGACUCCUACGGGAGGCAGCAGUGGGGAAUUUUGGACAAUGGGCGAAAGCCUGAUCCAGCAAUGCCGCGUGUGUGAAGAAGGCCCUCGGGUUGUAAAGCACUUUUGUCCGGAAAGAAAUCCUUGACUCUAAUACAGUCGGGGGAUGACGGUACCGGAAGAAUAAGCACCGGCUAACUACGUG